GAAGCACGCCAGACCGCCGCUGGUGCGAUCGCCGGAAGGCGGCACUGGAGGAAGGUCCGGACUGCACAGGGCAGCGUAGCAGGCAACACCUGUCCACCGCGAGGUGAGGAUCAGAGCAACAGAGACGUAGUCCGCGCAGGCGGGCUCGCACCGAAGGCGCAGCCGGAGGUACGUAGCCCACUCGCUUGGGCGGGGUGAAACGGGCAAUCUCUACGCGCAGCAAUACCAAAUAGGCCGGCGAUGAUGUGGCUCCGCGGAGCCGGCGGGUAGGUAGCACCGAGCCGUGGGGGCGACCCCCGGCCCAGAGGAAUGGCGGUCACGGCGAGGGAAACCGAGCCGCACAGAAUCCGGCCUAUCGGCGCGCUUCACAA
rnacentral:RNase_P_RNA from 1 species